UACGGGGGGGGCAAGCGUUGUUCGGAAUUACUGGGCGUAAAGGGCUCGUAGGCGGCCAACUAAGUCAGACGUGAAAUCCCUCGGCUCAACUGAGGAACUGCCUUUGAAACUGUCUGGCUUGAGGCCGGGAAAGGGUAGCGGAAUUCCCAGUGUAGCGGUGAAAUGCGUAGAUAUUGGGAGGAACACCAGUGGCGAAGGCGGCUACCUGGACCGGUUCUGACGCUGAGGCGCGAAAGCGUGGGUAGCAAACAGG
rnacentral:rRNA from 1 species